rnacentral:rRNA from 1 species
CCUACGGGAGGCAGCAGUGGGGAAUAUUGCACAAUGGGGGAAACCCUGAUGCAGCGACGCCGCGUGAAGGAAGAAGUAUUUCGGUAUGGAAACUUCUAUCAGCAGGGAAGAAAAGGACGGUACCUGACUAAGAAGCCACGGCUAACUACGUGCCAGCAGCCGCGGGAAUACGUAGGGGGCAAGCGUGAUCCGGAUUUACUGGGUGUAAAGGGAGCGUAGGCGGCGAGGCAAGGCAGAAGUGAAAGCCCGGGGCUCAACGCCGGGACUGCUUUUGAAACUGUGUUGCUAGAUUGCCGGAGAGGUCAGUGGCCUUCCUAUUGUAGCCGUGCAAUUCGUAGAUAUUAGGAGUACCCCCAGUGGCGAAGGCGGCUUACUGGACUGU